UACGUAGGGACCGAGCGUUGUCCGGAUUCAUUGGGCGUAAAGAGCUCGUAGGCGGCUGUUCAAGUCGAACGUGAAAACUCGGAGCUCAACUCCGAGCCUGCGUUCGAUACUGGACGGCUAGAGUCUGGUAGGGGGAUCUGGAAUUCCUGGUGUAGCGGUGGAAUGCGCAGAUAUCGGGAGGAACACCCGUAGCGAAGGCGGCACUCUGGGCCGGUACUGGACGCUGAGGUGCGAAAGCGUGGGGAGCAAACAGG
rnacentral:rRNA from 1 species